GAUGAAGAACGCAGCGAAAUGCGAUAAGUAGUGUGAAUUGCAGAAUUCAGUGAAUCAUCGAAUCUUUGAACGCACAUUGCGCCCCUCGGUAUUCCGUGGGGCAUGCCUGUUCGAGCGUCAUUACAACCCUCAGGCCCCCGGGCCUGGCGUUGGGGAUCGGCGGAAGCCCCCUGCGGGCACAACGCCGUCCCCCAAAUACAGUGGCGGUCCCGCCGCAGCUUCCAUUGCGUAGUAGCUAACACCUCGCAACUGGAGAGCGGCGCGGCCACGCCGUAAAACACCCAACUUCUGAAUGUUGACCUCGAAUCAGGUAGGAAUACCCGCUGAACUUAAGCAUAUCAAUAAGCGGAGGA
rnacentral:misc_RNA from 1 species